CUUACCCCCCAAGUUGCUUCCGGUUUAACGUACCGGUGGGGUUUGCGUGCAUCUGUGACCUCGAGAGCUAUGUCGACGGUAGCAUAAUCACAACUACCAGCAGGGCCACCCUGGUCGAACAGGUCUUAAGCGAGAAGCCAGACGAAGAGGAGCAACAAAAAGCCAACCCAAGGUGUCAAGCGAUCCGUGCCGAUGGGUGCGUGGCGGUGGGUGAGCACCGUCAUUCACGGAGCCUCUGAGAUACCAGGCGACCUUUCAGAGUAAUUAGCCUUACUCCUGUGCAGGGGGCGCCGCAGGAGUGGACUUUUUAUAUCCCCCAUGCUCGUGGGAACGAUAUGGAUAAAUUUACUAAAAACCGAACAAGAAGAUAUAGUAGAGAGGAGGAUAUAUACCAAACUGAAAAUGAUAGAGAUGAAUUAUUUAACUACGAAACUAUUGAUGAUAUGGAGGAAUUUGAACGAAACGAAGGCCGACAAGAUUGGCGAAGGCGUCGGUAUUCUCCAGACAACGAGGACUACCGAGAGAGACUUACCGACAGGAGACAAGGUGACGACUACCGGCCUAAGAGGCUUAGUGGCGCUCAAAGGAGAAAACUCUUUAAGGAAAAACAGAGGGCUGCGGGGUAUUGGGCUAAAGAGGAACCAAGAAGCAAUACAUUUGAUAGACGGGAAAGCAGUCAGAGUUUUAAACGACCUCUAUCAAAUUCCCGAUCACGAUCCCCACCAUCAACCAGGUGCAGGCAUGAAGAACGAGACAAAUAUGAAAGUUAUAAAAGACCACUAUCAGAUUCUCGAUACACAUCACGCUACCCGGACGCAAAGCCAUACAGAAGUGAGUCAGAACGAACAAGAUACAGGACUGAAGAACGACCGAAUAACAAAUCUCAGAGGACAAGGAAUGAGACAGUGUCAAGCAGGUACGGGAAUGACGAACGAAAGCAGUAUGAAAGUUAUGAAAGGCCUCUAUCAGAGUCCCGAUACCCAACAAGCUAUACCGAUGCAAAAAAAUCCAGACAUGAGAGAUCGCCUACUAGGUACGAGAAUGAACGAGAUAAAAAGAGACCAGAUUCUCGACACUCAGCUCGCUACUCCGAUGUAAACCAAUACAGAAGUGGGUCAGAACAAACGAGGUAUGGUAUUGAGGAAGGGGAGAACAGAUUUCAGAGCCCCAGAAAUGAGACAGCAUCAAGCAGGUACGGAAGUCAGGGACGUGAGGAUAAAAAGAGAUCAGAUUCUCGACACUCGGCUCACUACUCCGAUGCGAACCAAUACAGAAGUGAGCCAGAACAAACGAGAUACGGUGUCGAGGAAGACGAGAACAGAUUUCAUAGCCCCAGAAAUGAGACAGCAUCAAGCAGGUACGGAAGUCAGGAACGGGAGAAUGAAUAUGAGAGUUAUACAAGACCUCUGUUAGACUUACCAGACCCGACUGAUACAGAGGUAAACAAAUACAGCAGUAGCCCAAAACCAGUGAGAGACAGGGUUGACGAACAGGAUGAGAGUGAGAAUUUUCAGAGGCCAAGUGAGUCACCGCCAAUGAGGCACGGGAGUGAGGAACGAGGGAAAGUUAGGAGUUACACAGAAGCUCUGUUUAAUUCUCAAUAUUUAUCAAACUACCCCGACGUAGACAAAUACGCAAGCGAUUCAGCACAACUCAGAGACGGGAUUGAGGAACGGGAUGAUAUUGCUAGUUUUCAAAGACCAGAAAGUGAGUACCCAACAACCUACACCGAAGUAAAUAAACCUAGAGGUAAGCGAGCUCGAAUCAUGAGAUAUAAAAUGAAGGCACGGCUGCAGUAUGAAGAAUUUAGGGGCUCUCUAUUAUCAGAUACCCCGUAUCCUUCAUACGCCGGCAGCAAACGGGAAUAUGAUCCACCAUACCGCAAUAGUCGCUACUCUACCAAGUCUAGCGACGAAUCGGGAAAAGCGAAACGCCUAGCUAUUAUAGCAAAACGUCACCCCUAUAUAAAACUAACUCAAGAACAAGCUGAGCAGGUUAAAAAUGCAUUGACAGAGUUAAUGUACUCUGCUACUUUGAGCGGUGGUAGUCUCCCACAGUUCCUGCGAACUAUAUUUAGCGCAGGAUACCUGUGGAUGACUUCUGCAAAUAAUGAUACCGAGGAGUGGCUUAGAAAAAGUAUCGAUACGUUCAAACCACUCUGGGAGGGUGGCGAAAUUAGGAUAGCAAAUCCCGCUGACCUUCCCUUUAGACACAAAAUCAUUGGCUUCGUUCGGGAGCCAGAAGAGGAGACUACCGACUCCAUAAAACUUCGUCUUGAGACGCACAAUCCAGGUCUCAAGACAGGAGACUGGGCUGUAAUAAGCCGUAAAAUAGAGCAGGAAGGACAGCUUCUUGCUUUCUCCAUUGACGCGGGCUCUUUUAAAACAUUGGAGAAAACCAAAUUUAAGGUAUUCUAUAAGCUAGGGCGGGUGAACUUUAGGGUCAUGCGAAGGAGGGGAGAUCCUGAGAGGCCAACCAGAAACCGUGGUAGACUAGGAGAAAUUAUGGGAAAGGAAUACGAGGUCAGGAAUACACAAUAAAUUGUCUAACACUUUUCAGAUUCGUUUAUUAAAAAAAUGCCCUACUACCGAUAACUAUUUGAUUUUUGAUUAAGGUAGUGAAAAAUAAAAAUGUCUAGUAGUAAGGGACCGAGGAAUAUAACAAAUAUAGAAUCGGUCAAUUUGCCUAUCAAUCAUCAAGAAGCAAUACCGGAAGUAUCAAAGAACUGUGAGAUUUGGCAGGUACAAGGGAGGCUAAGUUGAUCAUCGAUUUGUCCAAAUUAACACAUCAUCUGGGGAAUCAGCAACAAGAACAAAAUAGGUGUCGCUCGCACAACUGCUGGCCACGCACGUGCCCACCGUGUGGGCCAUCGACCAGUACCGCAUCUACAAGGAUGUCCUGGAACGUUCCUGGGAGGUGGUGGACGGUGUUAGCGUCAGCCUGCGGCUGUGGGACA